CUAACAAGGAUUCCCCUAGUAAUGGCGAAUGAAGCGGGAACAGCUCAAAUUUGAAAUCUCCGUCGCCUGCGACGGCGAAUUGUAGUUUCGAGAAGCACUUUCUAGGCGGACCCGGGGCCGUCCAAGUUGCUUGGAACAGCACGUCAUAGAGGGUGACAACCCCGUCUGUGGCGGAACCGGCCGCUGACGAUGUGCUUUCGACGAGUCGGGUUGUUUGGGAAUGCAGCCCAAAAUGGGUGGUAAACUCCAUCUAAAGCUAAAUACUGGCACGAGACCGAUAGCGAAGGAAACGAAUGGGGUUAGCAAUGCGCUCCGCGAGAUUCAGCCGGUGGCUGGACCUGGCCGGGCGGUCUGCGGAUCUGAAUGGACCGCGGCCGUUCGGGUCGGCCCUUCAACCGUCGCACUUCUCGCGAGCGCGCGUCAGCGUCGGUUGGGACUGGGUCUCAAAGGCGCCGGGAAGGUAGGUCCCUCCUUUCGGGGUGGGACUGUUAUAGCCCGGCGUUUUCAUGGCCCGGACCUGACCGUGGUGCCGCGGCGCGUGCCUCUUCUGGCUGGGGUCCCGUCGUUCCGGUCGGUCGUCGACUGCGGUGGACUGCGUGCAGUGCGCCGCGACUGCUGCCGGUCGCUUCGGUGGUGACCU
rnacentral:rRNA from 1 species